rnacentral:rRNA from 1 species
UACGAAGGGGGCUAGCGUUGUUCGGAAUUACUGGGCGUAAAGCGUGCGCAGGCGGCUUCUCAAGUCAGGGGUGAAAGCCCAGAGCUCAACUCUGGAACUGCCUUUGAGACUGAGUGGCUUGAGUACGAGAGAGGUGAGUGGAAUUCCCGGUGUAGCGGUGAAAUGCGCAGAUAUCGGGAAGAACACCCGUGGCGAAGGCGGCACUCUGGGACGGUACUGACGCUGAGACGCGAAAGCGUGGGGAGCGAACAGG